CUUCCGUAGGGUAACCUGCGGAAGGAUCAUUACCUAGAGUUGUAGGCUUUGCCUGCUAUCUCUUACCCAUGUCUUUUGAGUACCUUACGUUUCCUCGGUGGGUUCGCCCACCGAUUGGACAAAUUUAAACCCUUUGCAGUUGAAAUCAGCGUCUGAAAAAACUUAAUAGUUACAACUUUCAACAACGGAUCUCUUGGUUCUGGCAUCGAUGAAGAACGCAGCGAAAUGCGAUAAGUAGUGUGAAUUGCAGAAUUCAGUGAAUCAUCGAAUCUUUGAACGCACAUUGCGCCCCUUGGUAUUCCAUGGGGCAUGCCUGUUCGAGCGUCAUUUGUACCUUCAAGCUCUGCUUGGUGUUGGGUGUUUGUCUCCUGUAGACUCGCCUUAAAACAAUUGGCAGCCGGCGUAUUGAUUUCGGAGCGCAGUACAUCUCGCGCUUUGCACUCAUAACGACGACAUCCAAAAGUACAUUUUUACACUCUUGACCUCGGAUCAGGUAGGGAUACCCGCUGAACUUAAGCAUAUCAAUAAGCGGAGGA
rnacentral:rRNA from 1 species